UACAGAGGGUGCGAGCGUUAAUCGGAAUUACUGGGCGUAAAGCGUGCGUAGACGGCUAUCUAAGUCGGGUGUGAAAGCCCCGGGCUCAACCUGGGAAUUGCAUUCGAGACUGAAUAGCUAGGGUACGGUAGAGGGAAGUGGAAUUUCCGGUGUAGCGGUGAAAUGCGUAGAUAUCGGGAGGAACACCAGUGGCGAAGGCGACUUCCUGGCCUGUUCUUGACGCUGAGGCGCGAAAGCGUGGGGAGCGAACAGG
rnacentral:rRNA from 1 species